GACGAACGCUGGCGGCGUGCUUAACACAUGCAAGUCGAACGAAGUGGCGAACGGGUGAGUAACGGGUAAUCACCCUGCCCUUCAGAGGGGGAGAACAGUUGGAAACGACUACUCAUAUCGCAUACUGAAGGAGGGGAUUGCGGCUGAUUAGCUAGUUGGGGGGGGAACGGCCCACCAAGGCGAUGAUCAGUGGCCGGUUUGAGGGGAUUAACGGCCACAAUGGGACUGAGACACGGCCCAGACUUCUACGGGAGGCAGCAGUGGGGAAUCUUCCGCAAUGGACGAAAGUCUGACGGAGCAACGCCGCGUGAGUGAUGACGGCCUUCGGGUUGUAAAGCUCUGUUAAUCGGGACGCGGUACCGGAAUAGAAAGCCACGGCUAACUACGUGCCAGCAGCCGCGGUAAUUC
rnacentral:rRNA from 1 species